rnacentral:rRNA from 1 species
UACGUAGGUGACAAGCGUUAUCCGGAUUUAUUGGGCGUAAAGCGCACGCAGGCGGCUGAUUAAGUCUGACGUGAAAUCUCUCGGCUUAACCGGGAGCGGUCGUUGGAAACUAAUUGGCUUGAGGCGAUGAGAGGGGUGUGGAAUUCCCGGUGUAGUGGUGGAAUGCGUAGAUAUCGGGAGGAACACCAGUGGCGAAGGCGACUUCCUGGCCUGUUCUUGACGCUGAGGCGCGAAAGCUAGGGGAGCAAACGGG